CUGCCCUCUAUUAUAUAAAAUGAAAGCAAUGUAAACAACUAGCAUUAUAUUUCGAUAUAAUUUCUAUAUUUGUAAAAAACUAAAUGCUUCAGAUUAACUUCAACAUGGGAGGAACAAUUGUGUGAGGUACCACUCACAAGAUACCACUCCACUGAUAAGGAGCAAUGGUGCCAAGAUACCACACCACUAUUACCACAAAACUGAUGAGGACCAAUCGUGCAAGGUACCACUCCACUGGUGAGGAGCAAUGGUGCAAGAUACCACACCGCUGAUGAGGACCAAUGGUGCAAGAUACCAUACCACUGAAGGGGCAGUUUUACGAGUCUUUCAUGCAUUACGCUUACAAAUAGAAGGUGCAGUUUUACGAGUCUCUAAUGCAUUACGCUUACAAAUAGUUACACCAAUUAAAAUACAUGAAAAGGAGAGCAGGUGGAGAACUCUGCAGAACACAAACAAUGUGGCCUAAGGACAAGAUUGCGAAGCAUAAUGAUAGUGUUCAUCUUGAAAAGCCUAGAGGUCAAAGACCAGAUGAAGAAAUGGCAAAGAAAAGCAUCUACAUUCAAGAAACUUUUUAUUAAAAAAUAUAAUAAAAAUAUUGAAUAAUACAUAGUUGAAUUUUAUUAAUACUCAGGGAUGUAAAUUUAAUGUUUUAUUCUUGUUUAAGCUUAAAUUGGUCUUUGUAUGUAUAAUCUCCAGUUAGUGGAUGUUUUUUUCUCUGUUGGUUGAUGAUUGAAUAAUAAAAUAACAAAAAUCAAAUGAACUACAAAUAAUGAAAACUGACUGUGUGGUUUUAAUUAACAUUUAUUUUGCAAUUCUCUCAUAAAUACAAUUUAAAUGACAAAGAAGAACAGACAAGAAGAUAAACUAUACCCCUUACACAACAUGUAACAAAAAAUCAACAAAAUAGUAAACAAAGAUCAAUAUUGGCCUAGUUAUGUAUCAACUGAACACUACAUACAUUGACAACAGAAGAUAAUUUUAGACCUUUGUAAUUUUUACAUAGACCUUUGUAAUUUUUACAUAGAAUAUAUGGGAUAUUUUCCCAGAAACAAAACCUCAGUUUUUGGUUUAGAUACAGCAGCAAUAUUUGACAUCAAUGUACAUCACUCAGCAACUAGAGAAAUCCAGCACUUUCCAUGGUGUAGAAAAUAUGAAUAUUCAGUAGUUCAUUACAAAACUAAUUUACAGUGGAAAUUAAUCAACAAUAAGACAAUCAAAAAACAUGCACAACUGGUCUCAAUCACAUUAUAAAUUCAAAAAAAUUAGGGAUAAAAUUGAGGGCGCUACAUAGUAAAUAUAAAUAUUCAGUAGCAAAUUACGAGACCAAUUUACAGAGGAAAAUAAUCAGCCAUAAGACACCAGGGUGUAGAAAAGCAUAAAGGUCCUUACAAUUAUUAUUAUUGGAAAAUAUGAAUAUUCAGUAGUAAAUUACGACACCAGUUUACAGUGAAAUAAAUCAGCAAUAAAUACGACAAUCACAAAAAUAUACAGAACUGGUUUUGCAUAUACUGUAUUAUAAAAUUCAAACAAAGUAGUAAAAAAUUGAGGGCGCUACACAACCCGGUUGAAAAUUUGCUUAGGAAAAUAUGAAUAUUCAGUGUUAAGUCUAUUAUAAAUUUGAACAAAGUAGGGAUAAAAUUGAGGGCGCUACAUAAUAAUUAAUUAUGACACCAGUUUACAGUGGAAAUUAUUCAGCAAUAAAACAACCACCACAAUAACAUUCACAACCGGAAUUAAAUUUAAAGCUUUGAUUCAAAGUAGUGAUGAAAUUGAGGGCGCUACACAAAUACAUGGUCGUAAAUUUGCUUAGUAUAUAUGAAUAUUCAGUGGUUAGAACUCAUUAUAUUUCAAAAAAAGUAGAAAUGAAAUUGAGGGCGCCACCUAGUAAAUAUGAAUAUGCAGUAGUUAAUUUUAACACCAGAUUACAGUGGUAAUUAUUCAGCAAUAAAGCAAUCGCAAUAACAUGUUUAC
rnacentral:misc_RNA from 1 species